ensembl:rRNA 5S_rRNA 5S ribosomal RNA
CUUAGCAGCCAUAUCACCCUGCAACUCACAACUGGCAACCCACUGAAGAUAAGCAGGUGUGAGCCUGGUCAGUACCUGGAUGGGAGACCUCCUGGGAAAAUCUAAGGUUGCUGCUGGAA